ensembl:lincRNA
AUCUUUUGGUACAUAACUUAGUAUCUUUUGGUUCAUUUCUUCAUCUGUAGAAAUGAGGGCUUGGAGUGGAUAAUUUCUGAGGUCCCCUCUGUAUACCACCCUACGUAAUUGUUUGCUUCCUGUGAGUGUUAGUUCCUGAAUAGUUAAAAUAAGAAAAAAACCAGUAUUAACAAAUUUAGAUUCCAUCAUGACACAGAUAUCUGACAUUAGUGGUAUACGUGGCAGUGAAGUUGCAGCAUAUCAGUGAAUCAAUAUCUAACUGCCAUAUUUCUGUCUUCAAAAUGCAGCCCUUUACAUCAACAGAAUGUUCCCCAGCUCUGUUUAUUGGAAAGCAAUUCAUGAAAAAGUGAUUUAAAGACAGAAGCAGAAGGAAAGAUAAACAAAGUCAAGGAGAAAUACAAAGGAAAAGCGAAAAACUUUCCAAGAAUGAGAAAGUCCUGAUGAACAUUUGAUCGGAAGUUCUAGUCAGCUAUCCUGUGCAUGGCUCACUGAACCACCAGACCGUUUGCCAAUACCCUCUGAUGCAGUGGUGUAUCUGAGCAUAGACUCAAAGGUGGAGGAGCACAAGAGAGCUGUCCGCGUGCCAGAGACCUGAGGAAUUCGGGUGAGGUCCUAGAGCCAGGGCAGCGCCCCAGCCAGGCCGCACCACGAGGCCGACGAGGCCGUGCAGGAAGCGAAGAAUCCACGCAGAGAACCUGGAGACGACGCUCAAGGUGAAGCGACCAGAGCUCCCAGCCCGCGCGUGCCAAAGGCCUGCAGACAAGCUCGAGGCACGGCAAAGCCCACAGCUGCUCCCAAGAGGACAUCGGCCAUCCUCGGGGCAGGCGAAGCUCAGCCCGGAGGACACAGAAGCUUCUCCGAGGAAAACCAGCGGCACUAAGCGCUCCCAGGAGAGUGGCUCCUCAGAAGGCCUGAAUUUGAGCCCCAGAAGACAGCUGGAGACCCAUACACCAGGCAAGGACUCUUCUUCCCACCAACGCUCAGCUUUGUUUUUCUUUCUCACUAACUUUCACAAGUUCAAUCCCCGGCAUGGGUCUACACCGGCUGCCCGGCUGCCUCCUACACCCCAGGAACACAGAGAAUAACCGUGUCGGGCUCCCCUUCUCUAGUGCCCUGUGCUCAGGGAAGUAGCAUCUUGGUUUACAAACGUGGGGCCAGAUCCUGCCGAAAAGGGAAGGGACGGCACAGGGAGUCGCUGGAGGUGAGCACACAGCCCAGAGAGGCCCACUGCCUUGCGCACGCUCCACUGGAGCCCCGCGCGCCAGACACGGCCAGGGCGCCUUCCGCCUAGUGUUACAUAAUGACCAAACUCCCGGGCCCCAAUACCUUCUCUGAAAAAAUAUUAAACAUUGGAUAAAUAUCGCUUACCCCAAAACUAAUGCCUCCAUCAGCAGAUGUUCUGUACUAUGUUGUUUCAUUUCCUCCAUUUUUUUGGUCAUUAUUGUCCUGUUUAUUGAUGUCUGCUUGUUAAUUGUUACUUUCUGCAACCUACCCAAAGAACAUAAACUUCACCAAAGACCUCUCCUGCUCUGUCCAGUUUUAUUCCAGUGCAGAAGAGUUACUGGCAUGUAGACACUGUUCAGAAAAUGCUAGUUAAAUCAAAGAAUUUGAAGACAUCUCAUAUUUAAAGUGCACUUUAAGAAAUAUGUGAAUGAUAAAAGGUAGUUAGAAAUAUUAGGAUGGCUACUUUCAACAUUUGAAAGAGCUGCAGAUCAUCCCCUAAGUACUUUAUAAAAUCUGGUGAGUCACAACUACUGUGCAUGAUUUAAUUUAUUCAAUAUUUUAAAUAUUUUUAAUCCUUUAUUUAUUUAUUUUUUUUGGUUUUUCUCCGGUACCGGGAACCGAACUCACGACC